rnacentral:lncRNA from 1 species
GUGGAGAUAUGUAGAAGUGGAGAUAUGUAGAAGUGGAGAUAUGUAGAGUGGAGAUAUGUAGAAGUGGAGAUAUGUAGAGUGGAGAUAUGUAGAGUGGAGAUAUGUAGAAGUGGAGAUAUGUAGAGUGGAGAUAUGUAGAAGUGGAGAUAUGUAGAGUGGAGAUAUGUAGAAAUGGAGAUAUGUAGAAGUGGAGAUAUGUAGAAAUGGAGAUAUGUAGAAGUGGAGAUAUGUAGAAAUGGAGAUAUGUAGAAGUGGAGAUAUGUAGAAAUGGAGAUAUGUAGAAGUGGAGAUAUGUAGAAGUGGAGAUAUGUAGAAGUGGAGAUAUGUAGAGUGGAGAUAUGUAGAAGUGGAGAUAUGUAGAAGUGGAGAUAUGUAGAAGUGGAGAUAUGUAGAAGUGGAGAUAUGUAGAAGUGGAGAUAUGUAGAAGUGGAGAUAUGUAGAAGACAAACAGAUGAACUGUCAGUAUACUCAGUUGAACUGUUGGCGAUAGUAGUUUGCCUUCAGUGGUUGGAGGACAUACAACCUGUCAGAAUUAUAGUACGCUCAGAUUCCCUGUCUGUGUUGAAUAGUUUAUCAUCUGGUAAAUCUAAUAGGAGUGACCUACUAUUGGAGGCAUUAAUGUUAUUGUGGAGAAUCGAGAGACUGUAGUAAUGAGAUUCUGCUGGGUCCCAGCCCAUUCAGGUGUGGUAGGGAAUGAAAUUGUUGACCAGACCGCCAAAAGGGCUUUAAAAUGAGAUAUAAUUUAUGUUCAUGCUCCACUGGGUAGAAGUGAGGCCAAAUGUAAGAUCAAAGCCAUUUUGAUAGAUGUGUGGCAGAAGACAUCAGACUCUGAGCCUAAGGGCCAUUUAUAUGCUCUUCAAAGAAUGGUAGGUGGACCAAGAUUCAAAAUUCAGAUUAGGGAGGAAGAGGUGGUGUUUGCUCGAUUGCGUCUAUGACAUUGUACAUCGAACCCGUCAUUACAUCUGAUUGGCAAGAAUGUGAAUGGUUUGUGUCUUGAGUGUAUCGUUGAUGAAACUGUGAUUUUGAUUUUGCAUGUGUUGUUAAAUUGUUGUAAGUAUGUUGAAGAGAGGGAAAGAUUGAAGUGUAGGAUCAUUGAGGUUGGACAGAGUGGGUGGGUGGGGUGUUGGAAGGGAAUUUGGGGAUGGUCUUUUAGAAGUUAUUAG